rnacentral:rRNA from 1 species
AUGGCAGCGACCCACAUGCGAGCGCCUCUUUUUCCCGCGUCGGUCGCCUCCCAGCCCGCGAACCUAUUUCGUUUCCUUCUUAUCUCACCCCUCACCCGAGACCCUAGCAUCACAACUCCCUCUCCCGAUAGAAGAGGCGGCGGUGGCGAUUUGGAUCGAGGUGACGGCGCGAUUCAUCUUGGAUUCCGGUGCAGCGGAGGUACAGAUCCUCCUUGUCCUCAUUCCCCUCUCUAUCCUCUCUGUUCUAUGCAUCUCCUGGUUGAAUCGGACGGCCAGGGCGGGCCGGGAGAGUGGAGCGCUGCCGGGAAGAAACGCACGGAUCCGGCCACCGGGAACGGGCAGAUCCGGCGUGGGGGAGGGGGGUCGCUGGUUUCACUGAAAUGGGAGGGUUUGGCAGUGGGGAACGGGAGGGACCACAAAGAGGAUGGGCCUUUUCUGAACAAGCCUCUCAAGCACUAUAAUGAGAUGGCUAUCAUUCAUGGCAAUACUAUGGCCACGGUUCAGUAUACGAAAGGCUCAAAUGACCCCCUUGGCACAGAGGGCAUAGAGGUGAAUGACAUUUCAGAUAAUGAGGCUUCCCCAGUUGAAGAAGGUAGCAAGUCAAGCAAUGGAGGCGAUUCAGUGGCUCCCAAUCCCAAAAGGGCCAAAACAAAGUCUAGUGUUGAUGAGGGGCUGCAAUCAACCCUUAUGGCAGUGGGUGAAAGGCUUGCUAUUGCCAUAGAGAGGAGUGUUAGCACCGACAACAGCUCCGCGAGCAUCUCUACGAACAACUCUACGAACAACUCCAUGGUGGGCCUUUGGGAGGGCAUGAAAGAUAUUCCCUUUUUCGGUACUGAUUACCUUGCCCAUUAUUUUGCCUACUUGGUUGAGAAUCCAAACAUUGCAAUGGCGUUUCAACUCUUGGAGAAGGACCAAAAGAGUAUUUGGGUUGCUAGGUAUGUGAAGAACACCUUCCCUCCAAUGGAUAGUUGA